rnacentral:lncRNA from 1 species
UGGUGGAGGAGAAUGAACUGGAGGGGGUGGGGAGUGUACAGGUGGAGGAGGUGAAUGAACUGGUGGUGGUGGAGAGUGAAUUGGUGGGGGUGGAGAAUGUACAGGGGGUGGUGGCGAGUGAACGGGUGGAGGAGGUGAAUGAACUGGUGGCGGUGGAGAGUGGACUGGAGGUGGUGGAGAUGAAACUGGUGGCGGUGGAGAGUGGACUGGAGGUGGUGGAGAAGAAACUGGUGGCGGUGGAGAGUGGACUGGAGGUGGAGGUGAGUGAACUGGAGGUGGUGGAGAGUGGACUGGAGGUGGAGGUGAGUGAACUGGAGGUGGUGGAGAAUGGACUGGUGGAGGAGGUGAGUGAACUGGAGGUGGUGGGGAAUUGACUGGUGGAGGAGGUGAGUGAACUGGAGGUGGUGGGGAAUUGACUGGCGGAGGAGGUGAGUGAACUGGAGGUGGUGGAGAAUUGACUGGCGGAGGAGGUGAGUGAACCGGUGGAGGAGGAGAGUUAACUGGUGGUGGUGGGGAAUUGACUCGUGGAGGAGGAGAGUUAACUGGUGGUGGUGGGGAAUGAACUGGUGGAGGAGGCGAGUGAACCAGUGGUGGUGGAGAGUGGACAGUUGGAGGCGGUGGGGAAUGAAC